rnacentral:SRP_RNA from 1 species
GCCAGGCACAGUGGCACAUGGCUAUGGUCUCAGUUACUUGGUAGACAUGAGAAGAUCACUUGAUGCUGAUUGGGUGUCUGCACUAAGUUUGGCAUCGUUAUGGUGAACUCCCAGGAGCAGGGAACCACUGGGUUGCCUAAGGUAAGGUGAACCUGCCCAGGUCAGAAACGGAGCAGGUCAAAACUCCUAUGCUUAUCAGUAGUGGGGUUGUGCCUAUAAAUAGCCACUGCACUCCAAGCUGGGAAACAUAGUGAGACCCUAUUUCU